rnacentral:rRNA from 1 species
CUACGUGCCAGCAGCCGCGGUAAUACGUAGGUGGCAAGCGUUGUCCGGAAUUAUUGGGCGUAAAGCGCGCGCAGGCGGAUUGGUCAGUCUGUCUUAAAAGUUCGGGGCUUAACCCCGUGAUGGGAUGGAAACUGCCAAUCUAGAGUAUCGGAGAGGAAAGUGGAAUUCCUAGUGUAGCGGUGAAAUGCGUAGAUAUUAGGAAGAACACCAGUGGCGAAGGCGACUUUCUGGACGAAAACUGACGCUGAGGCGCGAAAGCCAGGGGAGCGAACGGGAUUAGAUACCCCGGUAGUCCUGGCCGUAAACGAUGGGUACUAGGUGUAGGAGGUAUCGACCCCUUCUGUGCCGGAGUUAACGCAAUAAGUACCCCGCCUGGGGAGUACGACCGCAAGGUUGAAACUCAAAGGAAUUGACGGGGGCCCGCACAAGCGGUGGGGUAUGUGGUUUAAUUCGACGCAACGCGAAGAACCUUACCAGGUCUUGACAU